CAAUAAACAGCUCAUUGACUAGAAAACGUGUGAAAUAAAAUCAACUGGAAACCUAAAUAAAACUCCAUUCCAACUUUUUCCAAUCUCAUUUGAAUACGGUUCUUUGUAUUUUUUAAGUGAUAAAUUAGUUUGCCAGUUAAGAUAACGGAAUACAUAAAAAAAAAAAGAAUAAAUGGAAAUACCCACACAUAUUGUAUAUCACAAUUGACCAUAUCCCUCGUACAAACCACGAUGAACGGGAAAUGAAAAAACAC
rnacentral:lncRNA from 1 species